GCCCACGUAGCUCAGUUGGUAGAGCAACUCCAUGGUAAGGAGUAGGUCAGCAGUUCAAGUCUGCUCGUGGGCUCCA
rnacentral:tRNA from 1 species